UACGGGGGGAGCAAGCGUUGUUCGGAUUUACUGGGCGUAAAGGGCGCGUAGGCGGUCAGCACAAGUCAGUUGUGAAAUCUCCGGGCUUAACUCGGAAAGGUCAACUGAUACUGUGCGACUAGAGUGCAGAAGGGGGCAACUGGAAUUCUCGGUGUAGCGGUGAAAUGCGUAGAUAUCGAGAGGAACACCUGCGGCGAAGGCGGGUUGCUGGGCUGACACUGACGCUGAGGCGCGAAAGCCAGGGGAGCGAACGGG
rnacentral:rRNA from 1 species